rnacentral:rRNA from 1 species
CCUACGGGGGGCAGCAGUGAGGAAUAUUGGUCAAUGGACGAGAGUCUGAACCAGCCAAGUAGCGUGAAGGAUGACUGCCCUAUGGGUUGUAAACUUCUUUUAUAUGGGAAUAAAACGUUCCACGUGUGGGAUUUUGUAUGUACCAUAUGAAUAAGGAUCGGCUAACUCCGUGCCAGCAGCCGCGGUAAUACGGAGGAUCCGAGCGUUAUCCGGAUUUAUUGGGUUUAAAGGGAAGGUAGGUGGAUUGUUAAGUCAGUUGUGAAAGUUUGCGGCUCAACCGUAAAAUUGCAGUUGAAACUGGCAGUCUUGAGUACAGUAGAGGUGGGCGGAAUUCGUGGUGUAGCGGUGAAAUGCUUAGAUAUCACGAAGAACUCCGAUUGCGAAGGCAGUUCACUGGACUGCAACUGACACUGAGGCUCGAAAGUGUGGGUAUCAAACAGGAUUAGAUACCCGUGUAGUC